AUCUAGCAGACAUCGGACUUGGCCCGGUGGUCGAAGUUCAUGCACCGGAAACAACCGGCAAAAGGGCUGUCCAUGCACCUCUAUGCCCCCAAAAGGGUGGACAUUAAUUUGUCUUCGAGGAUGACGAUCGUUUUACCAUCAGCCGCCACUUUCCAGGGGCGACUCACCAUCCUGACAUUAAAUUUUUUAGCCUCUGGGCUGAACUCUCGUAGGUUCAGGCGGAAAAAUUCCUUCAUGAACUCUUUGUGCGAAAUUUCUGUUUGCACGCCCUGUACAACAACCCUCGGUCCCAACUUGCGAUUUACGGUCGCCUUCAGACCGACCUCGCCAAACUUUGUGUUAUUGGCCACCUUCUCCCUCUCCAUGACUGAAUGGGUACGGAUGAUCAUAUCGUGCACACGCACGCCAAAAGAAGGUCCCACUUUCUCCACCUUUUUUGCCACCACCUUUGAUGAGACGGCAGGAGCCUUGAUCCUGACUACCACCUACCAGGUCUAUUGCUUCCAGCACGAGUACCGGGUGCAGGCGCCGAAGCCGCAGGAGCCGUUAUAGCUCUGGUCGAUGGACCCAUUAAACCCUAUUUUUUGGAAGGCAUCCACCUGUACGUGAAGGUGUGUUUCUGUGAUCACUACCAUCAAUUGUGAUUCAUACCUCGAGGCGAGCUCCAUGAAUCCCUUCAUGGGUUUCGCUGAAUACCAUGGCAACUGUUACAGCUUUAAGCGCUGCAACGUGGCUGAUAGCGCCACCCCCAACUGUACAAUCCUUAUUUCCGCGAGCGGAAUUUCCAUUAGCAUGUACCUCCCUUUUUCUUCAAUGUCUCAUUUCGCGUUAGUUUCGGAUUUCUUCAUCUUGGUUGCGUCUCUCUCUCCGGAUUUGACCGGUGCCGAGCUCAAGCGGGCCUUCUUUCGCGGUGAGGGCUUUAGGGGUUGUUCCACAUCAUCCUCUGAUCGUCUGAUGAUGCCUUUACGGGGACCACCGUAGGCCCUGAGUCCUCACUUUCCCCGAAGAUUCACUAAUCACUAAAAAGUGUAAAAAUGCUCUAUAAACCGCAACCACCGCGCACACGCCCGUUCGCUUUAACAUUCAACAAGUAAUAUAAAUCAAAAUUAAAGUAUGUCAAUGUCGUCGUAUAUCUCGUACAGCUCUUCGUUCCAUCGAAUGCGAGGCAACGGCAAAUGUUUUCAAUCCGCAAAGGACCAUAAAUCUUUCGCAGAACCUUUCUGUCGAAAACUUUUAAUGUGCCUCUGCACCAUACAGCAGGGUGAAUGAGUGACUUAUAGAGUUUGGUUUUUGUUCUUCAAGAGCUCAGUGGCCUCCAUAACACUAUAAGUAUUCACUAACAACAAAUUAAAAACAAAGUUUUCACAAAGAGGAAUAUGACAAAACUAACGGGAAGCCGGCUGGUUCAUUAAAACGGUGUGGAAAACCGAAAUGACGAUAACUCACAAUUCUUACUAGAACUGAAACCGCAAUCUUAUAAAGUAAACGCGACAAU